GAUAAGGAGCUUGCUCCUUUGACGUUAGCGGCGGACGGGUGAGUAACACGUGGGUAACCUACCUAUAAGACUGGAAUAACUUCGGGAAACCGAAGCUAAUGCCGGAUAACAUGUAGAACCGCAUGGUUCUACAGUGAAAGAUGGCCUUGCUAUCACUUAUAGAUGGACCCGCGCCGUAUUAGCUAGUUGGUAAGGUAACGGCUUACCAAGGCAACGAUACGUAGCCGACCUGAGAGGGUGAUCGGCCACACUGGAACUGAGACACGGUCCAGACUCCUACGGGAGGCAGCAGUAGGGAAUCUUCCGCAAUGGGCGAAAGCCUGACGGAGCAACGCCGCGUGAGUGAUGAAGGUCUUCGGAUCGUAAAGCUCUGUUAUUAGGGAAGAACAAGUGCGUAAGUAACUGUGCGCACCUUGACGGUACCUAAUCAGAAAGCCACGGCUAACUACGUGCCAGCAGCCGCGGUAAUACGUAGGUGGCAAGCGUUAUCCGGAAUUAUUGGGCGUAAAGCGCGCGUAGGCGGUUUCUUAAGUCUGAUGUGAAAGCCCACGGCUCAACCGUGGAGGGUCAUUGGAAACUGGGAGACUUGAGUGCAGAAGAGGAAAGUGGAAUUCCAUGUGUAGCGGUGAAAUGCGCAGAGAUAUGGAGGAACACCAGUGGCGAAGGCGACUUUCUGGUCUGUAACUGACGCUGAUGUGCGAAAGCGUGGGGAUCAAACAGGAUUAGAUACCCUGGUAGUCCACGCCGUAAACGAUGAGUGCUAAGUGUUAAGGGGGUUUCCGCCCCUUAGUGCUGCAGCUAACGCAUUAAGCACUCCGCCUGGGGAGUACGACCGCAAGGUUGAAACUCAAAGGAAUUGACGGGGACCCGCACAAGCGGUGGAGCAUGUGGUUUAAUUCGAAGCAACGCGAAGAACCUUACCAAAUCUUGACAUCCUUUGACCACUCUGGAGACAGAGUUUUCCCCUUCGGGGGACAAAGUGACAGGUGGUGCAUGGUUGUCGUCAGCUCGUGUCGUGAGAUGUUGGGUUAAGUCCCGCAACGAGCGCAACCCUUAAGCUUANUUGCCAUCAUUAAGUUGGGCACUCUAAGUUGACUGCCGGUGACAAACCNGAGGAAAGGUGGGNAUGACGUCAAAUCAUCAUGCCCCUUANGAUUUGGGCUACACAC
rnacentral:rRNA from 1 species